rfam:Toxocara canis scaffold75, whole genome shotgun sequence.
CGGGCAGUAGCUCAGUGGUAGAGCUCCGCUUCAUACGCGGGAAGACCUGGGUUAGAUUCCCGGUUGCUUAC